CCUACGGGUGGCAGCAGUGAGGAAUAUUGGUCAAUGGCCGUAAGGCUGAACCAGCCAAGUAGCGUGAAGGAAGAAGGAUCUAUGGGUUGUAAACUGCUUUUAUAGGGGAAUAAAGGGAGCCACGUGUGGAUAUUUGCAUGUACCCUAUGAAUAAGGAUCGGCUAACUCCGUGCCAGCAGCCGCGGUAAUACGGAGGAUGCGAGCGUUAUCCGGAUUUAUUGGGUUUAAAGGGUGCGUAGGUGGUUUGUUAAGUCAGCGGUGAAAGUUUGUGGCUCAACCAUAAAAUUGCCGUUCAAACUGGCAGUCUUGAGUGCGCUUGACGUAGGCGGAAUGCGUGGUGUAGCGGUGAAAUGCUUCGCUAUCACGCAGAACUCCGAUUGCGACGGCAGCUUACUCCGCCACAACUGACACUGACGCUCGAAAGCGUGGGUAUCAAACAGGAUUAGAUACCCGAGUAGUC
rnacentral:rRNA from 1 species